rnacentral:rRNA from 1 species
GAUGAACGCUAGCGGCAGGCUUAACACAUGCAAGUCGAGGGGUAUUGGUUUUCGGACCAAGAGACCGGCGCACGGGUGCGUAACGCGUAUGCAAUCUACCUUUUGCAGAGGGAUAGCCCAGAGAAAUUUGGAUUAAUACCUCAUAGUAUAGUACUUUGGCAUCAAGGAACUAUUAAAGUCACAACGGCAAAGAUGAGCAUGCGUCCAUUAGCUAGUUGGUAAGGUAACGGCUUACCAAGGCUACGAUGGGUAGGGUCCUGAGAGGGAGAUCCCCCACACUGGUACUGAGACACGGACCAGACUCCUACGGGAGGCAGCAGUGAGGAAUAUUGGACAAUGGGCGCAAGCCUGAUCCAGCCAUGCCGCGUGCAGGAUGACGGUCCUAUGGAUUGUAAACUGCUUUUAUACAGGAAGAAACACACCCUCGUGAGGGUACUUGACGGUACUGUAUGAAUAAGGACCGGNUAACUACGUGCCAGCAGCCGCGGUAA